rnacentral:rRNA from 1 species
UACGUAGGGUGCAAGCGUUGUCCGGAAUUAUUGGGCGUAAAGAGCUCGUAGGCGGUCUGUCGCGUCUGCUGUGAAAACUCAGGGCUUAACCCUGAGCUUGCAGUGGGUACGGGCAGACUAGAGUGCGGUAGGGGAGACUGGAAUUCCUGGUGUAGCGGUGAAAUGCGCAGAUAUCAGGAGGAACACCGGUGGCGAAGGCGGGUCUCUGGGCCGUAACUGACGCUGAGGGACGAAAGCUAGGGGAGCGAAUGGG